CCGAUACUUUGUAGGUACCACACCUUUGCUAUGAUCAUGUCAGUCUUGAGGCCCUUAGAGGAUUAUUUUGAAGUGAUAACUAACUUGUUCGUCGGAGUGUUUGUAGGAAGGUAUGUACGCUCUUGUCAUGAAUAGAUCAAAAUGAGUCUUGAGGUCAUUACAGGGAAAGCCAGCCGUUGAGGUUACAAAUGAAGGUGUUGAUGAUGCAGGGCAUACAAUUGGUACAUCUUUGGAGGUCGUGUUCAAACUUAGGAAGGUUCUCAACCCCAAGAGUGUGAUCAAACCAAAAUCACUAGCUAAAGAUUAUUUUGAGAAUAACAUCUAUCGAAUCAAUUUCAGACGAAAGACCUUGGUAAACUCCUAUAUUUUUUGGGU